rnacentral:rRNA from 1 species
UAGGGGAUCUUCCACAAUGGACGAAAGUCUGAUGGAGCAACGCCGCGUGAGUGAAGAAGGUUUUCGGAUCGUAAAGCUCUGUUGUUGGUGAAGAAGGAUAGAGGCAGUAACUGGUCUUUAUUUGACGGUAAUCAACCAGAAAGUCACGGCUAACUACGUGCCAC